UACGGGGGGAGCAAGCGUUGUUCGGAUUUACUGGGCGUAAAGGGCGCGUAGGCGGCCACCGCAAGUCGGUUGUGAAAUCUCCGGGCUUAACCCGGAAAGGUCAAUCGAUACUGCGGGGCUAGAGUGCAGAAGGGGCAACUGGAAUUCUCGGUGUAGCGGUGAAAUGCGUAGAUAUCGAGAGGAACACCUGCGGCGAAGGCGGGUUGCUGGGCUGAUACUGACGCUGAGGCGCGAAAGCGUGGGGAGCAAACAGG
rnacentral:rRNA from 1 species